GACGAACGCUGGCGGCGCGCCUAACACAUGCAAGUCGAACGAGCGAGAGAGAGCUUGCUUUCUCGAGCGAGUGGCGAACGGGUGAGUAACGCGUGAGGAACCUGCCUCAAAGAGGGGGACAACAGUUGGAAACGACUGCUAAUACCGCAUAAGCCCACGGGUCGGCAUCGACCAGGGGGAAAAGGAGUGAUCCGCUUUGAGAUGGCCUCGCGUCCGAUUAGCUAGUUGGUGAGGUAACGGCCCACCAAGGCAACGAUCGGUAGCCGGACUGAGAGGUUGAACGGCCACAUUGGGACUGAGACACGGCCCAGACUCCUACGGGAGGCAGCAGUGGGGAAUAUUGCACAAUGGGGGAAACCCUGAUGCAGCGACGCCGCGUGGAGGAAGAAGGUCUUCGGAUUGUAAACUCCUGUUGUUGAGGAAGAUAAUGACGGUACUCAACAAGGAAGUGACGGCUAACUACGUG
rnacentral:rRNA from 1 species